CUACGGAGGGUGCAAGCGUUACUCGGAAUCACUGGGCGUAAAGUGCGCGCAGGCGGUCUUUUAAGUUGGAUGUGAAAGCCUACGGCUCAACCGUAGAACUGCAUCCAAAACUAUUAGACUAGAGUGUGGGAGAGGAAGAUGGAAUUAGUUGUGUAGGGGUAAAAUCCGUAGAGAUAACUAGGAAUACCAAAAGCGAAGGCAAUCUUCUGGAACACUACUGACGCUGAGGCGCGAAAGCGUGGGGAGCAAACAGGAUUAGAAACCCCAGUAGUCC
rnacentral:rRNA from 1 species